rnacentral:misc_RNA from 1 species
AAGUCGUAACAAGGUUUCCGUAGGUGAACCUGCGGAAGGAUCAUUAACGAAUUAUAAAGGAGAAUUUGAUGCUGGCAGCAAUGCAUGUGCUCGCUCUCCGAUUAUUCACUAUCCAUACACCUGUGAACUCUUGGGAUGGACGCGAGUCUGUCCCUCUUUUAUAACAAACCCCUACUAUACAACGAACGUGAAUUGAACCUUAACUGGUCAUAAACUUAUACAA